rnacentral:lncRNA from 1 species
ACUUUAAAAGAAAAUUUUUUUUAAUGUAUAUGAGUCUUUUCCUGCAUGUAUGUCUGUGUACCUUGUCUCAUCUUUUAAAAAUUACAAUGUUGAAAUUCAUAGAGCAGCAAGUAGUUAUGAAGAGUAGUAGUUAAUAUUUAUCAAGUAUUAUUGAUAUUAAUUGACUAAUGAGUAUUUGCAUAACAUAUAGUCUUCAUAUUUAAGUGGAUUAUAGAGUGUAUUUGUUCAGGUAUGUGUGAACUAUGAACUGUGUGCUGAGAUACCAGAGAAACUGCAGUGAAGAAGACAGUAGUCCUUCAGGGCUCUAUGCUAGUGAAAGACACAGGAUGGGUCAUAUUAAAGUCACAUGUCUACAUAUCUGUAGUGUCACAGAGUGUGAGAACAUGUGUAUGUAUUUACAUACCUAAGUAACGGUGUUUUCACAUUUUGUAUCAGCCCAAAGUUAGCUCUAAGAUGGUGACAGCCAGGGCUAUAGAGAAGCCCCGUCUGAAAAAUCAGAAACAAAACAAAACAACAAAAAAAGAGAAACUUUAAAAUGUGUAAGGAAACUGUUAGUGUCAGUAUCAUCGGGUAAUGCUGUGUAAUUCUUCCUUGGUUAGAGAACAGUCGAGCUUCUGUGAUUCUCAUCAACGUCUGUGCC